GUGGUUGGUGGUGGGCGUGCUCAGGGACGGCGGGCAGCGUGGCGACGGGCUCGGGGACGGCGGGGGACGGCGUGGAGGAGGUCAGUGGAGGACACUGGCCAGCUUGGGGACAGCACGGAGGAGGUCAGUGGAGGACGGCGGCAGAUGGCGUGGAGGAGGUAUGCCCGGAUCUAUACCAUACUAGUGACUUCAUCUGCCACCAUGGAAACCACUCAACAUUCAGCUCGCUCAAAUAUCAGGUACCAAUAA
rnacentral:lncRNA from 1 species